UACUAGCUAUGCAGUAACUUCUUUUCACUCAAUAAGCUGCCAUGAUCUCCUCCACUCCACCUUUUCUUUUCUUCUCCUUCUCCUUCUCCAAUUUGAUGUGCAUGCAUGUGAUGGUAAUGUUGCAUUUGCAUCAAUAAUUUCAUACUAAUUUUAUCACCAAUGUCAUAUUUUAGAAAUUUGAAAAUAGAGUGCUUGAGUUAUCCUUGAUUUUGCAUAGUUGAAGACGGUGAAGGUUGGCAAGGAAAAAUAAAUAGUGCAAUCAGAUAAACUCUCAUAUGGAUCAGUCAAGUUCAGGUACUUACGUUCUCUUCAACCAUAAUUAAAAUCCUUAUGAAAUUAUUUUUUUUCUUGUUAAUUCAUUCUAUCUUAGCAAAAUUAAAAAAAGAUUGGAAAUCUGUCAAGAUUACCGUGUGACCACCCCAACCAGACUGGGCUGGCUGAGAACGAUCAUCUACAGUCAACUUAUGAUGAUUCCCGUAGGUCUCACCAUAGAACCGUUAAUCACGCUCUGAUCACACGGUCACAAAUCCUCAUCCAGAUUUAUGUUCCUGUCUCCUUAGAAAUCAAG